UUAUUGAGAGUUUGAUCCUGGCUCAGGAUGAACGCUGGCGGCGUGGAUAAGGCAUGCAAGUCGAGAGGGUUAGACCCUCGGCAAACGGGUUAGUAAUACAUAGGAACUUCCCUCGGAGUCGUGAAUAAUCCGGAGAAAUCCGGAAUAAUACACGAUGUGCUCUACGGAGUAAAGAUUUAUCGCUUCGAGAUAGGCCUAUGUCCUAUCAGCUAGUUGGUAAGGUAAUGGCUUACCAAGGCUAUGACGGGUAGGGGGUGUGAGAGCAUGGCCCCCAACAUUGGAACUGAGACACUGUCCAAACUCCUACGGGAGGCUGCAGUCGAGAAUAUUCCACAAUGGGCGAAAGCCUGAUGGAGCGACGCCGCGUGCAGGAUGAAGGCCCUUGGGUUGUAAACUGCUUUUGUAAGGGAAGAACUUCGGUGACGGUACCUUACGAAUAAGAGGUUACUAACUCUGUGCCAGCAGUAGCGGUAAUACAGAGACCUCAAGCGUUAUCCGGAUUUAUUGGGCGUAAAGAGCUGGUAGGUGGUUAUAUUAGUCAGAUGUCAAAUCUUCGAGCUUAACUCGAAAACUGCAUUUGAAACGGUAUAACUAGAGGGUGUGAGAGAUCUAUGGAACUCAUGGUGUAGCAGUGAAAUGCGUUGAUAUCAUGGGGAACACCAAAGGCGAAGGCAUUAGGUUGGCACACUCCUGACACUGAGCAGCGAAAGCGUGGGUAGCGAAUGGGAUUAGAUACCCCAGUAGUCCACGCCCUAAACGAUGCAUAUUAGGCAUUAAGAGUAUCGACCCUUUUAGUGUCGUAGCUAACGCGUUAAAUAUGCCGCCUGGGAAGUACGGUCGCAAGACUAAAACUCAAAGGAAUAGACGGGGAUCCGCACAAGUGGAGGAUCAUGUGGUUUAAUUCGAUGGUAAGCGAGAAACCUCACCAGGGUUUGAAACUAGGCUGCAAGACUUAGAAAUAAGUCCGCCUUCGAGGGUGCCUAGCAGGUGCUGCAUGGUUGUCGU
rnacentral:rRNA from 1 species